UUUUGAGGUCUGGCCUGCUCACUGACAAGUUUUAAAGAGCCGCGGUAUUUUGACCGUGCAAAGGUAGCAUAAUCAUUAGUCUCUUAAUUAGGGGCUGGAAUGAAUGGCUUGACGAGAAAUUAACUGUCUCUUAUUAAAUAAUAGAAUUUAACUUUUGAGUUAAAAGGCUUAAAUUUUUCUUAAAGACGAGAAGACCCUAUAGAGCUUGACAUUUUAUUUUAAUAUAAUUUUUAYAUAGUUUUUUUAUAUUUUAAGAUAAUGUUUUGUUGGGGUGACAUGAAGAAUAAAUAAACUCUUCAUUAUAAAAUCAUUGAUUUAUGUUUAUUUUGAUCCAUAAUUUAUGAUCAUAAGAUUAAGUUACCUUAGGGAUAACAGCGUAAUUGUUUUUGAGAGCUCAUAUUGACAAAGCAGAUUGCGACCUCGAUGUUGGAUUAAGAAUAAUUUUGGGUGCAGGAGCCCAGUAA
rnacentral:rRNA from 1 species